ensembl:lncRNA
CAUCAAAAAAAUGUGUGCCUUGAUAAUAGCUUCUCCAUUGCAAGGAAAUUUAAUGGAAAAGGAAAGGGUCCACCCAGAAGUUUAAAGACAGACCCAGUCAUCACAUAGUUUUUUUACUCUCAUAUUUAUUUGAGAGCACAACUUGGAGCCUGUUAUAUAAAAAAAUACAAGAGCAGAUUCCACUGAGUUAGAAAAAGACUGAAAAUAAACAAAGCAUCUCUUGUUAAAAUGGGACACUUGUGGUGGGCAGUCUGAAUUUAAUCAGUUACAUUUAAUUUACAUUUUCAUUGAUCCUUCCCACUAAAAUAUUGCUCUGAAAGGCCAGUUACACUAAAUUGCUUAUUCAAAAAUAUUCCAGUUAUUUCCUACUACACUGUCAUGAAAAUUAGGUUUUUGGCUGUGCAGAGGGAUGGAUGCCUGUUGGCUUCUGCCCAAGAAAGGCACUAAAAUCAUGGCUGGGAUUAGGAUGAAGCAGGAAGGAAGGGCAGCAAGAAAAUCACUGGGUGCAAUUCAUAGACUUUAAAAACAGAAUGUCUGGGGGAGGGGGGCAGGCAGCAACUUUGUCCCACUGAAGCAAGAAAAGCCUUUUUGUCCUUUCUGUGUCAGGAUUUCAUCCUUUAUCUGUGGUCUUAUUGUUCUGUGUUGCUGCUAGCACCCACAAGGGUCAUCCCACCAUCUGGGCAAUGCUGGUGUAUUUUAAGCAUGUAUAUAUUUGUUCCUUAAUUCGUACUCCUCUUCUCCCAGGUGGGGAUGAAGCAUACCAGCACUUUGGUGAGUCUCCUGGCUCAUGUGAGGACUGUGUUUUCCAGCCCUGGGUGGAACCAGCCAGGAGAGACUUGCUGAGAAUCCAUGCCUCAACAAGUGGUUCAAAAGAAGCCUGCUCAGGAAGAGACUGAAGAAACGUCCUCACAAGAGUCUGCAGAAGAAGACUAGGAGAUCACACCAUGCAAUUUCUACCUCAUCAGCAGUUGGGUCUUUUGAAGGGAGAAGACACUGCCUUGACCACUUACUUUCUAUUGCCAUGGUCUUUCCACUUUUGCCUGGGGGAAAAAAAAAAAUCACAUAACCUUAAAAAGGAUUCGACUAAUCAUCUUCUUUUGUAAUCCCUUCACAGUCCCAGGUCUAGUGAAAAACUGCUGUAACACAAAGGGGACACAGAUUAACGAUGCAACUUUUAAUUACUGUUUUCUUUUUUCCUAACCUACUAAUAGUUUGUUUGAGCUGCUAAGUAAGGGUGAAUGGGUCAAGAAGAGCUCCAAAUCAGGCUUAGGUCAUUGACUGCACUGCGUAUAAACAAGAAACUUGUAACAUAGUCAUUAUAAUGGGCAUUGAAAUAGGAAAGGCUGGGUGUGUAACACUUAUGCCUUGCAACACUUCCAGCAACCCACUCCCUACUUAGUGAACUCCCUCUUUUAGAACACCAAAGAUAGGGGAUAGAUACUAUCCUUUUUCUUUUGUAACCUUCUUGUAGACUUGUACUUGAUUUUUUUUUAUUUUUUUUUUUUUAAGACUUACUAUUAUUUCGGGAAAAAAAAAUGAAAGCUGAUCUUUUCAUUUCAUUCAGCCGGUAAUCAGAAGAAAGAAAUCAAGAUGAAAAAGGUACUUUGAUUUUACAAAAGGGAAGAAAGACAAAGAUACGUUGUAUAGUUACAGAUACAAUCUUAUCAGCACAAGCAGUAGUAAACAAAAUGAGCAGUUCUUAUCACCUGGCUAAUAGGAAGACAGGGAGUUGGCUUUCUUAGAGCCAGGAGUUUUCUAUGGGAACAAAAAUGACUGACACCACUCUUACACCAUUAAUGAGUAAGUCUUUACUGAUAAAAGUGUUUUAAAUCAUACAGAAAGGUACCUAGAAAUUAAUCAUAAAUAUAUCUGAACAAAAAUAAUCCAGAUUUUUGCUUAGUUUCUACUAAUUCCACUUGCCCUGUACCAGUAUUUUGAAAGAAUUGAAUCUUUCCUCAUUACUCAUCAGUCACAAUGUAAGAAUGAACACCAUGUACCUCAGCUAAGCUCAUGCAUUACUUUAAGCAAUGUAUUUUGACAUAGGAUGGUUCACUGAGCACCUCUGUGCCAGUGGCAUUUCUCCAUCUUUUCACUCAAAGCAGCACUUUUAGCACCAGAUGCAAUAUUACCCCACUAUUCAAUACUACCUCUGAUUUUUACAAAUAACUCAACAGACUGAUAAAUACAUGCUGCUAUACACAUUCAAUGCAGGAAAUUUUUACUGGGUAGAUAAUCAUGAGUAUCUGCAUUUUCCCUUUUUUUCUGUUUCAACCUUUUUUGCAGUUAAGGAAGCAAUGUCUUUUUUGUGUUUCAGCAUGACUAUAUGUUUUUCUUUCACUUGGUUUGUUUGAUUUUUCUUUUUUUUUUUUUUGUGUGUGGGUUUUUUGGUUUUGGUUUUGUUUUAUUUUAUGUACUUACUCUAUUCUCUGCUAGACUUCUGUGUAAUGUACUGUUAACUUGAAUAUAUUUUUGUAUUGAAUUGCUGAUAGAUUUGUGAGGAUAAUUUUCUUCAAGGACACUACAUGACAGAAAAAAUUUAGCUGUAAAGUUUAAAUAUUACUGUCCAAGUUUGUACCUCAAAUGAAUUGUUUAAAGAAAUGGACUAAUUGAUUGACAAAGACCUACCUCCAGACUUUAAAUGGAAUGAACUUGUUACUUUCAGCAUUAGUUUUGAGACGUUUGAAACAGUUAGGACUGCAACUAAUCCCUAAUCCAAAAUUAUUUUUGUAAAAUAACUUGUGGAAAAUGAACACAUUUUAAAUUACUUUCGUAUUAAAAGAAAAAAAAAUGAACAAAAAAAACCUUCAAAGAAACUUGAAGCUUUGUAGGUGGGAAGCAACAAGCUCAGCUUUUGCAUAAUGCAAUCACAAAUAUGUGUUUUUAAAAAAAAAAAAUUAGUAGAUUGUAAGAAAAUACUUGACAAGUAUUUUCAUGUAUUUUACACAAAUGUGAUUUUGUAAUAUGUUUCAGCCAGAUUUAUUUUAAAUGCUUCUUAUGUAGAGAUUUUUUUAUUCUCCCCUCUCUCACUUUUGUUGUUCUUUCUUUCUCUCUCUCUCUCUCUCUCUCUCUCUCCCCACCUCCAAUUUAAUUUUCUCUAUUUCUGUUUUGUUUCCCUUCUUCCUCUCUUUCCUAGUCAGUACUUUGUACCAUUGUAUUAAUAACUGGGCCAGGGGUAGUUUCUCAGGAAGGCAUCUGUUGGUCUGGCUUUCGUAUGGAGCCAAGUGCAGUUAGAGAUAACAAUUUACUGCCUUCUUCCAAGAGGCAGUGUCAAGAAAUGUGGACCUCCACGAAAGACUGUGCAGGGUUCAGUGCUGGAAAUUGCUGGGAAAGAGCUGAUUGGAAUAUUAUUAACUAGACAUGAUAAUAUCAAGUGAAAGAGAAAUAAUCCUAGCUAUACAGUAGCUCUAACAGGCCAAAUCCAAUGUCACUUGAAGGCAGUAAUAGGAAUUUUGCUGCCUUCAAAGGGCAUCAAAUCAAGCCUUAGCAAGUCCCUUUUGGGGUCUGAGGGGGUUUUUUUUGCAUUUUUUAAAACCACGGUAUUCAGCGGAUGACACAGAAAUAAUUGCUGUGUGUUUGUCACUCUUCAACCUCUGAGACUUACCACUCUGAUGAACCGAAUCUUACAUUUUCUAUAUAUUGUAGUACAAUCAAAACACAUUACUACCUCUUAGGGCCUACUAUACCUCAUUUUUUCAGACUGAAAAAUUGCAUGUGGCCAUUGAGUCAGUGAGAACAUCAUAAAAUUUUUUUAUAUAUAUAGUUUAUUUUUGUGGGAGAUAAAUUUUAUACGACUGUUCUUUGCUGUCAUUGGUCACUGCUAACUAUGACUGGACAUGUAACUCUUCUACCAUUUCUGCAAGAGAGGUGUGUUUGCAGGAAAAAAAAAUUGCUUUAAGAUGUUGAACUACAGUUUACUUUUCCUUUUGAGUGUCUUCUAACUCUUUGCUUUGUUCUUCAUGUAGAGUUGCUGUCUAUGAUUGUACUUCAAAUCGCUUGCUUGUUGAAAAUGUUCCUUUAAUGGUUUAUCACAGUCUGUUCAGCACAAUAAACAUAAUAGCCUCUGUGAUCCCCA